GCUCUUCUGGAUGAGUUGCGAACGGGUGAGUAACGCGUAAGUAACCUGCCUGGUAGCGGGGGAUAACUAUUGGAAACGAUAGCUAAUACCGCAUAACAGUCGACAUUGCAUGAUGUUGAUUUGAAAGGGGCAAUUGCUCCACUACCAGAUGGACCUGCGUUGUAUUAGCUAGUUGGUGAGGUAACGGCUCACCAAGGCGACGAUACACAGCCGACCUGAGAGGGUGAUCGGCCACACUGGGACUGAGACACGGCCCAGACUCCUACGGGAGGCAGCAGUAGGGAAUCUUCGGCAAUGGACGGAAGUCUGACCGAGCAGCGCCGCGUGAGUGAAGAAGGUUUUCGGAUCGCUAAAGCUCUGUUGUAAGAGAAGAACGAGUGUGAGAGUGGAAAGUUCACACUGUGACGGUAUCUUACCAGAAAGGGACGGCUAACUACGUGCCAGCAGCCGCGGUAAUACGUAGGUCCCGAGCGUUAUCCGGAUUUAUUGGGCGUAAAGCGAGCGCAGGCGGUUAGAUAAGUCUGAAGUUAAAGGCUGUGGCUUAACCAUAGUACGCUUUGGAAACUGUUUAACUUGAGUGCAGAAGGGGAGAGUGGAAUUCCAUGUGUAGCGGUGAUAUGCGUAGAUAUAUGGAGGAACACCGGUGGCGAAAGCGGCUCUCUGGUCUGUAACUGACGCUGAGGC
rnacentral:rRNA from 1 species